rnacentral:rRNA from 1 species
GACGAACGCUGGCGGCGUGCUUAACACAUGCAAGUCGAACGGAAAGGCCCUGCUUUUGGGGGGUGCUCGAGUGGCGAACGGGUGAGUAACACGUGAGUAACCUGCCCUUGACUUUGGGAUAACUUCAGGAAACUGGGGCUAAUACCGGAUAGGAGCUCCUGCUGCAUGGUGGGGGUUGGAAAGUUUCGGCGGUUGGGGAUGGACUCGCGGCUUAUCAGCUUGUUGGUGGGGUAGUGGCUUACCAAGGCUUUGACGGGUAGCCGGCCUGAGAGGGUGACCGGCCACAUUGGGACUGAGAUACGGCCCAGACUCCUACGGGAGGCAGCAGUGGGGAAUAUUGCACAAUGGGCGGAAGCCUGAUGCAGCAACGCCGCGUGCGGGAUGACGGCCUUCGGGUUGUAAACCGCUUUCGCCUGUGACGAAGCGUGAGUGACGGUAAUGGGUAAAGAAGCACCGGCUAACUACGUGCCAGCAGCCGCGGUGAUACGUAGGGUGCGAGCGUUGUCCGGAUUUAUUGGGCGUAAAGGGCUCGUAGGUGGUUGAUCGCGUCGGAAGUGUAAUCUUGGGGCUUAACCCUGAGCGUGCUUUCGAUACGGGUUGACUUGAGGAAGGUAGGGGAGAAUGGAAUUCCUGGUGGAGCGGUGGAAUGCGCAGAUAUCAGGAGGAACACCAGUGGCGAAGGCGGUUCUCUGGGCCUUUCCUGACGCUGAGGAGCGAAAGCGUGGGGAGCGAACAGGCUUAGAUACCCUGGUAGUCCACGCUGUAAACGGUGGGUACUAGGUGUGGGGUCCAUUCCACGGGUUCCGUGCCGUAGCUAACGCUUUAAGUACCCCGCCUGGGGAGUACGGCCGCAAGGCUAAAACCCAAAGGAAUUGACGGGGCCCCGCACAAGCGGCGGAGCAUGCGGAUUAAUUCGAUGCAACGCGUAGAACCUUACCUGGGUUUGACAUGGAUCGGGAGUGCUCAGAGAUGGGUGUGCCUCUUUUGGGGUCGGUUCACAGGUGGUGCAUGGCUGUCGUCAGCUCGUGUCGUGAGAUGUUGGGUUAAGUCCCGCAACGAGCGCAACCCUUGUUCACUGUUGCCAGCACGUUAUGGUGGGGACUCAGUGGAGACCGCCGGGGUCAACUCGGAGGAAGGUGGGGAUGACGUCAAGUCAUCAUGCCCCUUAUGUCCAGGGCUUCACGCAUGCUACAAUGGCUGGUACAGAGAGUGGCGAGCCUGUGAGGGUGAGCGAAUCUCGGAAAGCCGGUCUCAGUUCGGAUUGGGGUCUGCAACUCGACCUCAUGAAGUCGGAGUCGCUAGUAAUCGCAGAUCAGCAACGCUGCGGUGAAUACGUUCCCGGG